rnacentral:lncRNA from 1 species
UUUUAGAUCUUCUAUUUUUAGCAAUUAUCGAGAGAGGACCACACCGUGCUAGUUAUGCAAGUCAGAUUGAUGUUUGAUUUUCCUUGCAAAACCAGAAAUACAUUACAUUUUUACCCCAAAAUAAAACAGGUACUACUUUUAUUUCUAUGGUAUAAGAAUUGCCUAAUGUAACGAUCUUUGCCCCUAUAGGUAAAGAUUCGAAUCCGAAAACCUCGGAAUGGGCAAGGCAACAAGAGGGAUCUUGAGCUUCAAGACAAUCCCAAACUUCUCUUUCAAAUCCAACACGUGGCCUUCCGGUAUCUUCCAAUCGAAC